AUGGGGAGCAGGUGCUUCCUGGUCCUGCUCUUGGAUAUUAAUGAAUGUGAGACCGGGCUGGCAAAGUGCAAGUAUGAAGCUCAUUGUAAAAAUAAAAUUGGAACUUACAUCUGUAGCUGUUGGGUAACACAUCCUAUCCUCAACUGGCUGGCUGGUUAUAUAGAGUAUAAUUUUCCAGAUUGUUAUGAGGACGACAGUCAAGGGACACAGGCAAAAGUGGAUAUUUGGGUGAGUGGGGUGAAGCCUGGAUUUGGGAAACAGCUGCCUGGUGACGAGAGAACAAAACAUAUCUGUGUCUACUGGGAGGGACUGGAGGGAGGCAGCUGGUCCACUGAGGGCUGCUCUCGUGUGUGCAGCAACGGCUCUUACACCAAAUGCAAGUGCUUCCAUCUGUCCAGCUUUGCCGUCCUCGUGGCUCUUGCCCCCAAGGAGGACCCUGUGCUGACUGUAAUCACCCAGGUGGGACUGGCCAUCUCUCUGCUGUGCCUCUUCCUGGCCAUCCUCACCUUCCUCCUGUGCCGGUCCAUCCAGAACACCAGCACCUCCCUCCACCUACAGUUCUCCCUCUGCCUCUUCCUGGCCCACCUCCUAUUCCUGACGGGCAUCAACAGAACUGAGCCUGAGGUGCUGUGCUCCGUCAUUGCAGGGCUGCUGCACUUCCUCUACCUGGCUUGCUUCACCUGGAUGCUCCUGGAAGGGCUGCACCUCUUCCUCACCGUCAGGAACCUCAGGGUGGCCAACUACACCAGCAUGGGCAGAUUCAAGAAGAGGUUCAUGUACCCUGUAGGCUACGGGAUCCCAGCUGUGAUUAUUGCUGUGUCUGCAAUAGUUGGACCCCAGAAUUAUGGAACAUUUACUCAGUAAGUAUAAUGCGUGUCUUUAUGAUGGUGAAAAUUCCAAGUCACUUUUUUCAUGCGGUUCCCACAGAUAAACCUGGUGUUCUACUUCCAAAUUCUGUGGAUUUUGAGAAGCAAACUUUCCUCCCUCAAUAAAGAAGUUUCCACCAUUCAGGAUACCAGAGUCAUGACAUUUAAAGCCAUUGCUCAGCUAUUUAUCCUGGGCUGUUCUUGGGGCCUUGGUCUUUUUAUGGUUGAAGAAGUAGGGAAGACGAUUGGAUCAAUCUUUGCAUACUCAUUCACCAUCAUCAACACUCUUCAGGGAGCAUUGCUGUUUGUGGUACACUGUCUCCUUAAUCGCCAGGUAAGGCUACUUAUUUUGUCUGUCAUCAGCCUAGUCCCAAAGUCUAAUUGA